UACAGUCUUCCAAGAAACAGAUGAGGGACAAGGCAAACUCACAAUUUAUUUUAUUUUUAUUUAUUUAACACAUUUCUAUACUGCCCAAAACCUAUGUCUCUGGGCGGUUCACAAUUGAGAGAAAGCAGUGGGACAGCCAGUCAGAUAUAAUGAUAUAUGGAUGAAUAGUUUCACACAGCAUUAGAUACAGCUGAAGUUGCAGAGCAUUCGUACAAGCAGCUGCUACAUCAAUUCCCCAGAAAAGGAAUAUUCCAGUUUAAGGAUUUUUAAAUACUUGGACCACUAAACUAAUUUGCUUUGGCAAACAUCACUGGACUUCUUCUGAAGGCAGGAAUUAAGGACACACGGUGAAGUAAAGACGGCAUUUGGAGUAAUAAGACAGCUCACCAGAUACGUAAUGGAGCCUUCCAGUGGCUACAAUAAGCAGCUUCUGCACAAUUGUUAAUGAAGACCUGCAGCAGGUUCCAUCCAGGGAUGACAAAGAACAUUAUUAGAGGACUGAGGAUUUUGCGAUGUGUUACAUACUUACAGAGCCGAGCCCUUCCUCCUACAGAGAGAUCCUGUUCCCUAUUAUAGUCUAUGUUAAUAGGAGAAAGUUCUCUUCAGAUUGAUAACAACUUGGAAGGAGUACAGCCAUGUUUCUGGCUUAACAGAGUCUGGUUUAAUGCUUUCA